rnacentral:rRNA from 1 species
CGUAUGGUGCAAGCGUUAUCCGGAUUUACUGGGUGUAAAGGGAGCGCAGGCGGUGCGGCAAGUCUGAUGUGAAAGCCCGGGGCUCAACCCCGGUACUGCAUUGGAAACUGUCGUACUAGAGUGUCGGAGGGGUAAGCGGAAUUCCUAGUGUAGCGGUGAAAUGCGUAGAUAUUAGGAGGAACACCAGUGGCGAAGGCGGCUUACUGGACGAUAACUGACGCUGAGGCUCGAAAGCGUGGGGAGCAAACAGGAUAGAUACC